rnacentral:rRNA from 1 species
AACGAACGCUGGCGGCAGGCUUAACACAUGCAAGUCGAACGCCCCGCAAGGGGAGUGGCAGACGGGUGAGUAACGCGUGGGAACAUACCCUUUUCUACGGAAUAGCUCUGGGAAACUGGAAUUAAUACCGUAUACGCCCUACGGGGGAAAGAUUUAUCGGGGAAGGAUUGGCCCGCGUUGGAUUAGCUAGUUGGUGGGGUAAAGGCCUACCAAGGCGACGAUCCAUAGCUGGUCUGAGAGGAUGAUCAGCCACAUUGGGACUGAGACACGGCCCAAACUCCUACGGGAGGCAGCAGUGGGGAAUAUUGGACAAUGGGCGCAAGCCUGAUCCAGCCAUGCCGCGUGAGUGAUGAAGGCCUUAGGGUUGUAAAGCUCCUUCACCGAUGAAGAUAAUGACGGUAGUCGGAGAAGAAGCCCCGGCUAACUUCGUG